CACCACUUGCUCUCUCAGCCAAAACUUGGAGGAGAAUUGCAACUCACAUGGAGGAACUACUCCGUUCAUUCCUUCCACAAAUGACUAUGAUGGGAGUGCACCGGGGAAAUAAUUUAUUGUGAUUAAAAGUUAGACUUGUUAGUCAAAGCAAAAUAUCCCCUCCCCUGUUUCUCCAUCACUUCCCUCUCAUCUGCACCCCUCCCCUCUCAAGCUCUGGGUGUUUCCUGAGUCAAUAUGGUUUUCAUUUCUCAAGGUGGGAAAAGGGAAAGGGUGGGAAGGUUGUGUGUAGGGAUGGGGGAGAUAUCUGAUUCAGCUCAUAUUUAAAAGAGAACCUGCCCAACCCACACUUUCUGAAACACUAGGAGAACAGCAAGAACAAAAAAGUCAUCUGUUGAUGUUUGCAUUUCUCUGAAUUUUGCAAUGCCAGCUUUUUGGAAAAUCAGAGGCAAAAUAACUGCUUUUAAGAUUCUCUGGUCUAGACACUUUGUUGAUGGCAUGAUCUGACUUGAGAAUAUGGGAGUCUUCCCCAAAUCACCCUCAUUAUUCAGGGGACACAUAGAAUGAUCAACUUCCCUACUGAAAAGUAGCCUGCACAUCAUCAGCAUCGUCUUCAUCUGAAGUUACCUUUGUAGAAUUUCAUCUGAUCAUCCCACACGCAACUGGUUCUUUGUUCCACAUUGGCAAACAAGUGAGUAACCAUUUAUUAAAGCCUUGGUUAAUGAUUAAUUAGCUGUUCAUAUACUAUUGAUGAGUGGAACCUAUCUGCUGUCACCUGGACCUGGGUAGCGUGCAAAGUUGCUAUGCAAAGAGGGCUCUCUAUAAUGCUUCCUCGCUCCCCCUGGCUUGCUGGUCUGGAUUCAAUGCUUUCAUGACAGGCAGGAGCAAGAAAACCAAUGUUGCUCUGGCAAGUUUGUUGGAGAAGACAAAAUGAGAAGAUUGUGUUUAGACUUACACUGAAUUGGAUUUGGAGAGUCCUGCUCAGGUGAGACAUCUGAUGAAGGUCAGAGCGGAACAAAUAGAAUUGUGAUAAGACCAGCAAAAAAGGUCGGAAGCAUAAGCAGAAAAUGUGGAGCACCCCAGAGCUUUCCUUGCUAGCAACAAAUAAGGAACAUUCCACAGGGACUGUAACUGGAUUCUCUAAGCAUAUUCAGGUCCUGACUACAGAGCUGUGUGGAUUUGCAGGCACAGAAUGGCAAACUGGCCUCAUCAGCAUGCUGCACCAUCUGACAGGAGAACCCACCUCCAUCUGGGUGACAAAAUGCACAUUUCCUGGUUGGGACAGAGGGGCAUGAUGUGGGACAGCUUCAAGCCCUUGGGGACAUCUCAGUUUGCAUCUUCAGGACCUCAAGGUGUGCUUGUCAUACAACGCGGAGACAAUGAGUUUGGCAAGAGGAAAUGAAUUCACCUCUGUCCAACAGCUGUUGCCGAACUGAAUGCUUUGCUUUCAAAGUACCGCAUAGCUGUCAACUUACAGAUUUGAAAAUAAGGGACCAGCAGCCUUGAAAAUAAGGGACCAGCAGCC